UUGAACGCUGGCGGCAUGCCUUACCCAUGCAAGUCGAACGGUAACGGGCCUUCGGGUGCCGACGAGUGGCGAACGGGUGAGUAAUACAUCGGAACGUGCCCGAUCGUGGGGGAUAACGAGGCGAAAGCUUUGCUAAUACCGCAUACGAUCUACGGAUGAAAGCAGGGGACCGCAAGGCCUUGCGCGGACGGAGCGGCCGAUGGCAGAUUAGGUAGUUGGUGGGAUAAAAGCUUACCAAGCCGACGAUCUGUAGCUGGUCUGAGAGGAUGAUCAGCCACACUGGGACUGAGACACGGCCCAGACUCCUACGGGAGGCAGCAGUGGGGAAUUUUGGACAAUGGGCGCAAGCCUGAUCCAGCCAUGCCGCGUGCAGGAUGAAGGCCUUCGGGUUGUAAACUGCUUUUGUACGGAACGAAAAGCCUUCUUUUAAUACAGGAGGGUCAUGACGGUACCGUAAGAAUAAGCACCGGCUAACUACGUG
rnacentral:rRNA from 1 species